rnacentral:rRNA from 1 species
GACGAACGCUGGCGGCGUGCUUAACACAUGCAAGUCGAACGGAAAGGCCUGCUUUCCCUUAUGGAUUGCGGGUACUCGAGUGGCGAACGGGUGAGUAACACGUGAGUGAUCUGCCCCCAACUUGGGUAUAAGCCUGGGAAACUGGGUCUAAUUCCCGAUAGGACUGCAGGGUGGUGCCUGUGGUGGAAAACGAUUUUCUAGUGGUUGGGGAUGAGCUCGCGGCCUAUCAGCUUGUUGGUGGGGUAAUGGCCUACCAAGGCGGCGACGGGUAGCCGGCCUGAGAGGGUGGACGGCCACAUUGGGACUGAGAUACGGCCCAGACUCCUACGGGAGGCAGCAGUGGGGAAUAGUGCACAAUGGGCGGAAGCCUGAUGCAGCGACGCCGCGUGGGGGAUGACGGCCUUCGGGUUGUAAACUCCUUUCGACCGCGAGGAAGCCACCUGGUUGGAAGGGUGGUGACGGUAGUGGUAGAAGAAGCACCGGCUAACUACGUG